CAAGUUUGUGAUUAGCCUCUGAAAACACUCAUGGCUGAAUCAGGGAAGAGAAAAACAUGUUCUUAAGCCCCUUCUCUUGCUUGCAAUCCUUGGCAGAACCUAACCUGGGUGUGUAGUUGGGUCAUCAGUGUUAACUCCCACACCUCUGGCUCUCAGACUCAGGCUGUUUGGUUUUCUUCCCUUUGUGGUGAAGGGCUGAAGUCAGGAACCCAUUGAUUUGAGUCUGAGUUUUCUCCCAAUGGAUCAGGCUGUUCUCCAGCCCCUCAGCUAAUCUCAGGUGAAGCUGCAACCCAAUCGCCUGGAGGACUUGACACAGACGGUCCUGCAGUGUGGGCUCUAUGCAGGGAAAUGAUGGGUCAGCAGCAGGUGGUCAGCACCACCAAGAGCACCCCAGCUCCCUCAACAGUAGCCCUCAGAGAACCCAGCUCCAGAGCAUAAGCUGCUACCCAGGGAAGAAUUGCAUGGUAAGCAGAUGCUGUCAAAGAAGAUUCCUGAGUCCUGCUUUAUCUGGUGAAAGAGGCAGCAACUCCAGAAAACUCAUUCUCAUAGGACCCAGGAUGGAUCGUCGUCAGCCACUGGCCACAGGGUGGAGUGGAUAGUGGCUCUGAGUUAGCCUGAGAAUAGCCACAUCAGGAGAGAAGGCUUUAGGUGUGCCGAGAAAGCCACUGGUCACACACGUGGAAUAAAUGGUGUCUCAAAGGUGGUCUAAGAAGAGCCACAUUCAGGAGAAAGAGCUCCCAGCUUGCCAGGAAAGCCCCAUGGAUUCUGGUGAAGCCUGGACUGGGAGGUGCUGCCUUCCCAUUGAACCUCCUAGGACUGAAUCAGGAGGACGUGUGAGAUGGGUUUGAAACCCUUUUGCAGCUGCACUGCCUGCAGGGUCUACUUUUGUUAAUCAGUGCUGUCACUAGUCCAACCCUUUCCUCAGGUUAAAGACUUCCACAGCUGCCUGAGGAAUCUCAUUUUGGAGUGUGAUUCUCGUCCUGUCAGCCCUGCUGGACGCAUCCUGGGUCGUACGCUAACAUUUGUGUGACUGACGUUCUUGUUCUUUAUGUAUCAGAAGGAUUCUGUGCAUUCAUGAGUAUUUGUGGAGCUCUGGGUGAAGUCAUUAACCUUUUGGAUGUCCUGUAAGGGAGUUCAGCUCCAAUUUACUCCCAGGCACGUUCACUGGUUGUUGAUUACAUGGCAGCAUUUGUGACAGGCCUGGGCCACUUAGGUCUUUCCCCAUAGCUCAUACCCCUCAGCUAGCUCUUCAAUCUUGUGAACUUGACCCCAUGGCAGUGCACUGUCUUAAUCAGUAUAGGUUCCAUAUGUUAAUGUGGUGGGGCCUUCAUCUGCCAUCUUCCUUGAUCUGUGUUUCCAUUUUGCAUUGGUUUUGGUUUCUGUGUCUGAAAAUGUAUUUGAGGGGAAGAGCUCAAUCAUGAACAUGUAUUCAACAGAUCCCCAUCUUGUUGAAGGAUUGUCCACCUGGGUUAAUGGAAAUCUAUUUGUAAGCUGAUGGAAUGCUGUUAGACCUUGAGGUGUCAGACAUGCUUUCUGGAAAGUGCACAUAGGAAGUAAAGGCUUGAAUACAGGAAGGUUGCACCCAGAUGCCCCUGAAGUUUUCUUUCCAUGCCCUGGGCACCACCAGAACAUUGUCCCAGCCAAAAUGAGGAUAUCGAUUAUGAUGGUCAGCAGCAACACUUUCUGCUCUGGGUAGCUGGGCUCUGUCUGAAGACAUGGAACAGAAUUCUGAAACUCUUUCUGUCACCAUAGUGUUACCCUCUUUGGACUUCAGUGUAUCCUCUGAGAUAGAAAUGAGUCUACCAUAUUUUCUGGGCGGGGAUAUAUGUUAUGUUUGUGCCUUCCCAGACAUAUCCCUUUACUGGUUGUGCGUGGUGACAUUUUUUUCUGGGGAAUAUGUUUCCGAGGUCCUGAAGGAUGGAUGCUAUGAGAGAAAAUAACUUUCAGAAUGUGUGUCAGAUUUGCUGUUUGUGGAUGCAUGGUGGCAGGGGUUCCACUUCUCUGGGCUACUUGCUGACCAUCGGCAGAUGUGAAGGGAAGACCUCACAGGCCAGCUCUGAGAACUACUCCCACCACAUCUUAGAUUCUCUGGCAGUAAAAUCCUAGGAGCCCUGAGUGGAGCUGAGGGUCCACUUAGUCUCCAGUAGUGAAGCCAGUGUGAACCCAGUGCGCUCUGUUUUCAGACUACACCUGGAAAUGGAGUGUAAUCCUUUUAGCCCGGGCUGAGUUCCUCUGGGAAAUAGUGAUUCCCACCAUGAAAAUGUCCUCAAAUGUUUCAAAAAUGUUUGAAAUUGGGUCCUCAUGUCUCUUCUGAGUGUUCUUCCUGAGAACUUUUUUCUUUUUUUACAUCCUUUGCUUUACUGGAUCCUCCUACCAGCCCCAAGAAUUUAAAACAUUACACCAAUGACAAAAAAAUCUUAAUAGUGUUUCAGUCUUUUUCAUUGUGGGCUGCUAUAAUAAUGUCCCAUCGAGUUACAACUUGUAUCAGUGCUGUCAGCUGAAUCUGUGUGUUUUUUCCCCUUUAUUUUCCUGGCCUUUCCUUUACCAGCUCAAAAUUAAAUGUCCAAGGAUGGACGUUAAAAGUCUCGAUUUGCUCAGGUUAUUUCAUCAUCGUCAUUACUGGUCUCUGGUUUUGAUUUCUAUGGCUGGUGACUGGUCAUUAUGAUAUUUAGACCAGUGCACUGUCAGAAUGGAAAUUGAAUUUUUCCUUAGCAUAGCCUGAACGACGUCUGUGAGUCAAAAUUCACUGUGAGGUAUGACCACACCAAUCUUUCUGAAAUCUCUGGCAGUAGAAGACAGAAGCCCUGUUCCUCUCUGCAGAGCUGGCAGUGGUAUGGGGGCUGCAGGUGUGUUCAAAGGAAGGUAAGAGAGCAGGGGGCUCAUUUCCAGCCCCUCAAGUCAUCAUGAACCCACAUCCCUAGGAGUGGUCUCCUGAAAUGCUUGUGCUGAGGAUCUCUUAGCUGACACAGAGAAGUCUGUUCCUUAUCAUAGGAAACACCAGAAAAAAAUGGAAAAGUUACUUUAUCAUUUAAAGAUGAAAAAUC